rnacentral:rRNA from 1 species
UACGAAGGGGGCUAGCGUUGCUCGGAAUCACUGGGCGUAAAGGGCGCGUAGGCGGAUCUUUAAGUCGGGGGUGAAAGCCUGAGGCUCAACCUCAGAAUUGGCCUUCGAUACUGGAGAUCUUGAGACCGGAAGAGGUAAGUGGAACUGCGAGUGUAGAGGUGAAAUUCGUAGAUAUUCGCAAGAACACCAGUGGCGAAGGCGGCUUACUGGUCCGGUUCUGACGCUGAGGCGCGAAAGCGUGGGGAGCAAACAGG